rnacentral:rRNA from 1 species
UACGUAGGUGGCGAGCGUUGUCCGGAUUUACUGGGCGUAAAGAGCGCGCAGGCGGUCGUACAAGUCGCGUGUGAAAGCCCCCGGCUCAACUGGGGAGGGUCACGCGAUACUGUUCGACUCGAAGGCAGGAGAGGGAAGUGGAAUUCCCGGUGUAGUGGUGAAAUGCGUAGAUAUCGGGAGGAACACCAGUGGCGAAGGCGACUUCCUGGCCUGCUCUUGACGCUGAGGCGCGAAAGCUAGGGUAGCAAACGGG